UGACUCAGGGAGAGGAGAGACAUGUUAACUUACUAUUUUCAGUGUUUGAGAAGRCGCUGUCUGUGGAGGAAGAAGAAAAGCAUGGAUGGAGAUAGAAACAUAGGCAUGGAAGACAGGGAAGUACGCAAUCAUCUGAGACUGAGGUGCAGGACUGAGCAGCAACACCAGCCCGAUCCCAGGAAACCAGCCUGGCAUCACCGAAAACUCCCGCAAAGCCAGGAUCCCAAGAGGUUCUCAACCUCUCCAGGGGCUUUCCCACCUGGCURCGCCAGCCUCCUACCUGUCUCUCCUGUAUUCCAGAGCAAUUCAGAAGACACAGACGAGCUCAGAGGAUCUGUCC
rnacentral:lncRNA from 1 species